rnacentral:rRNA from 1 species
UGGGGAAUUUUCCGCAAUGGGCGAAAGCCUGACGGAGCAAUACCGCGUGAGGGAGGAAGGCUCUUGGGUUGUAAACCUCUUUUCUCAGGGAAGAACAAAAUGACGGUACCUGAGGAAUCAGCAUCGGCUAACUCCGUGCCAGCAGCCGCGGUAAUACGGAGGAUGCAAGCGUUAUCCGGAAUGAUUGGGCGUAAAGCGUCCGCAGGUGGCUUAUCAAGUCGAUUGUCAAAGGUCCUGGCUCAACUGGGAACAGGCAGUGGAAACUGAAAAGCUAGAGUGCGGUAGGGGUAGAGGGAAUUCCCGGUGUAGCGGUGAAAUGCGUAGAGAUCGGGAAGAACACCAGUGGCGAAAGCGCUCUACUAGGCCUGCACUGACACUCAUGGACGAAAGCUAGGGGAGCGAAUGGG